AACGAACGCUGGCGGCAUGCCUAACACAUGCAAGUCGAACGAAGGCUUCGGCCUUAGUGGCGCACGGGUGCGUAACACGUGGGAAUCUGCCCUUUGCUUCGGAAUAACAGUUAGAAAUGACUGCUAAUACCGGAUAAUGUCGCAAGACCAAAGAUUUAUCGGCAAAGGAUGAGCCCGCGUAGGAUUAGCUAGUUGGUGGGGUAAAAGCUCACCAAGGCGACGAUCCUUAGCUGGUCUGAGAGGAUGAUCAGCCACACUGGGACUGAGACACGGCCCAGACUCCUACGGGAGGCAGCAGUGGGGAAUAUUGGACAAUGGGCGAAAGCCUGAUCCAGCAAUGCCGCGUGAGUGAUGAAGGCCUUAGGGUUGUAAAGCUCUUUUACCAGGGAUGAUAAUGACAGUACCUAGAGAAUAAGCUCCGGCUAACUCCGUGCCAGCAGCCGCGGUAAAAC
rnacentral:rRNA from 1 species